rnacentral:rRNA from 1 species
UACGUAGGGUCCGAGCGUUGUCCGGAAUUACUGGGCGUAAAGAGCUCGUAGGUGGUUUGUCGCGUUGUUCGUGAAAACUCACAGCUUAACUGUGGGCGUGCGGGCGAUACGGGCAGACUGGAGUACUGCAGGGGAGACUGGAAUUCCUGGUGUAGCGGUGGAAUGCGCAGAUAUCAGGAGGAACACCGGUGGCGAAGGCGGGUCCCUGGGCAGUAACUGACGCUGGGGAGCGAAAGCGUGGGGAGCGAACAGG